rnacentral:tRNA from 1 species
GGGAAUAUAACUCAGUGGGUAGAGUAAUAGUUUAUGAUUGUGGGUUCGAAUCCCACUGCCA